rnacentral:rRNA from 1 species
GGGGUGCAGCAGGCGCGAAACCUCCGCAAUGUGAGAAAUCGCGACGGGGGGAUCCCAAGUGCCAUUCUUAACGGGAUGGCUUUUCAUUAGUGUAAAGAGCUUUUGGAAUAAGAGCUGGGCAAGACCGGUGCCAGCCGCCGCGGUAACACCGGCAGCUCUAGUGGUAACAAUUUUUAUUGGGCCUAAAGCGUCCGUAGCCGGUUUAAUAAGUCUCUGGUGAAAUCCUGCAGCUUAACUGUGGGAAUUGCUGGAGAUACUAUUAGACUUGAGACCGGGAGAGGUUAGAGGUACUCCCAGGGUAGAGGUGAAAUUCUGUAAUCCUGGGAGGACCGCCUGUUGCGAAGGCGUCUAACUGGAACGGUUCUGACGGUGAGGGACGAAAGUUAGGGGCGCGAACCGGAUUAGAUACCCGGGUAGUCCUAACUGUAAACGAUGCGGACUUGGUGUUGGGGUGGCUUUGAGCUGCUUCAGUGCCGAAGGGAAGCUGUUAAGUCCGCCGCCUGGGAAGUACGGUCGCAAGACUGAAACUUAA